CAACAGCAACAGCAAUGGCAACAAAAGGAAGAAGCCGUUCUCAUUUCCGUAAGAAAACGCCACUUUCCCCGGCAAAAGUGCUUAAUUCGGCAAAGACAAAGGACCUACAUAUUUACCGAAACCAAACAAUUCUACAGGCAAAACAAGUUAUCAGUAAGAGGAGCAACUGAAAAAGCAAAAUAAUUUUAAAAUGUUGUUUAGGAAGCAGCCAAGAGUAUUUGGCAAUCAAAUUAUAGAAUUGAUUGUUAAAUUAAAUUCAUUUAAACACACACACACACACACACACACUUCAUCAGUAUAAUGCCAUAUAAGAAUGGUAUAAGGCCACCCUAGUCAGAGCUUCAGUAUUUUAUCUGUGUGCAGUCCCUGCCUUCCUCAUUUUACAAGUAUAUCAGCAUCAAUCCUAAGCAUCAGCAGCAGUAACAAGACAGAUUAUAGUAAACACAGAGACAGUGUGACAGGUUUCUCUGCAGCACAGCUACACACCCGCUCCUCUUUGCCUCACAAUAGCACAAUGUGCUUGUUCAAAGUCACUCGACUGGAAGAAUGGUUCCUUAUCCCUUGUUCAAUGGAACUGGAUACAACAAGAGAGCAGCGGUAGAGAACAUCUUGAAAGCCAGCUGCAAUACACCAGUGACAUGAGCUCCGUCUGUAAAGCUCUCUUUUAGCAACGUGUCCUCCUCUCUCAUCCCUUAGGCCAGUGCUUCUCAGAUUUUCGAUGCCUGGAGCACGGAGUGUUCUUGCUUCUGGAUUAAAGUUGGAGGCACACAUCAGUCUUACAUAGUUUCCUGAUCAGCUCCCAAAACAUGGAAUUGGCAUCCUGUCCUCCCUGAAGUUGUGGAAAGCCCAGUUAGUAUUGCUUCUCUCCAUCCCAUCCCCUUCCAGUCAGCCAAGAUUCAGGGAUGGACCAUUAUUUUGUAGGAAUCCAUCCAAACGUAGACCCCAAGGAGGAAGGUGGGAGAGGAAGACUAAGUCAAGACAAAAAGGUUCUCCUAACCGUUCCUCAAAUGAUGUGAUUUAUUUUAUGGAAGCUGAACGUAUUGUAAGUGCAUAACAUACGCCUGCGGUAACCCCCGAAAAUACAAUUGUUGAGCGGUAGAUUGCUGAAGGAAAGCAGUCACCCAUGAAGGCAAAGAAUCACAUUUUUCACUUCAAGCUAAUUCACAACCAAAGAAGAGACGUUCAAGAUUGAAAACACAGCAGGGAAACCAGACUCCUAGAUGUCUGAACCAACCAGAUUCUCUGCAUGUGAAUUUCCAGAUAGAAAUAAACAAAUAAAACAAC